rnacentral:rRNA from 1 species
UACGGAGGGUGCAAGCGUUAUCCGGAUUUAUUGGGUUUAAAGGGUCCGUAGGCGGUCUUGUAAGUCAGUGGUGAAAGCCCAUCGCUCAACGGUGGAACGGCCAUUGAUACUGCAGGACUUGAAUUAUUGGGAAGUAACUAGAAUAUGUAGUGUAGCGGUGAAAUGCUUAGAGAUUACAUGGAAUACCAAUUGCGAAGGCAGGUUACUACCAAUGGAUUGACGCUGAUGGACGAAAGCGUGGGUAGCGAACAGG